GCUCACAUAACACACGUCUUUUCUGCCAAUCUAAUGUUUAUCUUGGUUACCUGUAGAGAAGUAUUUCAUUCUUCAUAUGUCCAAAAAGUAUUUUGUGUUGUCAUAUUUAUAAAAGAAAAAACAGCAUUUCCGAUUUUUGUCGGGAAAACACGAACACUUGAGGGCGUGCGGUGGACACUUGAGGGCGUGCGGUGGGCGGAGCUAAAGAGUUACGAGCACGCGCAGCCUUUGGAUUGUAAUCCGACAGCUGUGAGAUCGUGCGAAAUCAAACUUGAACUUGUUAAAUAACUAUGGCUUAUAGUCAGAUACAGCCUUACAUUUAUGAUCCAGAAUCGGAUGCAGAGACAGUAAAUGACCAACAGGAACAACAGCAGCAACGAUUACAACAGGACGUUUCUAUCUGGUAAUUAGUCAUUGUUUGUUUACCCGCUGUUUGUUUGUUUGUUUUUAAUACGACGUAAAACUUGAUGUUUUUUCUGCAUUUGUCUGUUUAAAAGGUGUAAAUGUCAUAGGUGCAGUACAAUGCCAACUGAGGCAGAAAAUGUUUGCUGCCAAGAAAUACAACAGUGUAUGACAGAACAUCCAGGACUGGAGGCCAACUGCCUGAAUGUUUAUACACUUCAAAACAUAAACAACAUUUACAGAGCAGACUAUGGACCACUUAGGAGGAGAACAGAGGAGGAGCGUUUUAGGUAUCUUGCCUAUCGCAGUUUUGUUAGCUGGUGCUGGGGAUAUCUUGGCAGACAUGUGCGCGUGGUCAUUCCUGCAUGUGUUGUCCUGCGGAUUCGUCAGGAGUUUCCUGAUGCUGGAGGGAACUACACUG